rnacentral:lncRNA from 1 species
UAUAUUGCUUUUAAUAUACUAAAAAUAUAUUAAAAGCAAUUUUGGAUUCGGAUUAUCCGUAUCAAAUAAAAUCUAAAAAAUAUAAUGGACCCAAUCAGGAAAAUUUUCUAAUCCCAAAUUCAAAUCCGAAUCCAAAGUGGAUAGUAAAAUCCCAAUCAAUAUCCCAUUAGUGUCGGUUUCAAACUUGAGUCGGAUAGAAUAAUAUCAUUUUCACCCCAAUCUCUAAGGGAUAGUUGGGAAUCCAUCCUUGAACAAUUUGAUGUUGGAGACCUAGUUUGCGAUUGCAUGCUUUAAGGCAAAAUACUUGCUCCUCAUGCGGCAAUUCCCACCAUAAUUCAGUAGCAUUAGAUGAAGGAAACUCCAAAGCGCUUUCAGAUUUUUCAAUCCCUCUAAAGCAUGAAAGCAAGUGUAUUUGGACACCACAAUCUUAUAACAGGCCUUAGAAUUCCCAAAAAGUAGGAAAGAAUGUAAGAGAUCAGUUCCUCUAAUGCUGCAAAAUUGUGGUGGGAACCUCCAUUAAAAAAGCAUCCAUUAAGAUACUUCUCCAUGGAAGUUCUCACACCGUUUUGCAAUAGGGAUUGGCCAAGCUAAUGAUAUUCCUGGCUUUCUUGGAGCUCUAAAGCAUGAAAGUGAUUGGAGAACACAUUCCCAAGCUAGGCCUACAACAUAAAAGUGGUUGUGUUUUGGGAACACAUUCCCAAACUAGGCUUAAAUAACGCCAAAAGGCACUCUUGUGACUUCGAAAGCUGGACAUGGCCACAAUGACACCUCAAUAAUCCCACAUCGGAUAAUGUGAGAGAGUGUGACAGGCUUAUAUGUGACGGGCAUGCUAGAGAUAAUAGCUACGCCUAAGCAAGGCUAAUGUUUUGAGUCCAACGAAUAAUUAGUGCUAGUAGGUCAAGUCAUUACAGUUGGUCUCAGAGCCAAUGCACUAGCCGAAAGUGUAAGGAAGGUCUCACAUCGCUUGAUGAUCUUGAGCUAUGUGUGUGAUUGAGUUAACAUAGACAUUAGGGCCCAAAACGGGAGAAAUAUGUGACACCUCAAUAGUCCCACAUCUGAUAAUGUGGGAGAGUGUAGCGGGUUUAUAUGUGACGGGCAUACAGCAUACUAGAACUAAUAACUGGGCUUAAGCAUGUCGGAUCAAUGGUUUGGGCUCAACAAGUUUUUUAGUGCUAGUAGACCGGAUCGUUACAGCCACCAUGUAGAGUGGCACGACAAUCCUUAGCAGCAGACGCCUCUAGUGAAGUGGUUAGCAAAACAAAAGAAUCUAAUGCUUUGGCUAGGGAGGAAAGGUGAAAUGAGCCUUCGAUCCCUAAAACCAGAAGCUUCGAUUUGGAACUUCUGCUUCUACUACAAAAUGGAGCUAUUAGGGAGAUCUUACUAAAAAUGUUGUUAAUGUUUUUUCAAACAAGUCUACUCAAACAACACUUCUGCAUAAGUUCCAUAAGUGCCGAACAUAAGUGUAAAUGAUAUGUGACUGAAAUUUGUAUGUUUACAAGUUGUUUAUUAGGUAGAAAAGUACAGCAAUUGAUCUAUACAUCCUCAUAUUAGAUAAUCAGCUAUCAUAACUAAAAUAUAAUUCAAAAUUUACAAAUGACACAAUUUUUAAAUUUGAAUAUAAAUAUAUAGCACAAAUAACAUGUAAAUAGGUAGAGUUAGUUGAAUAUAAGUUUGUUAACCUUAUCUUAGUAAUCAAAAAUAAUGUUCACUUUCAAGUUUCCAAAGGUUGAGAAAUAAAAACUAGAGAACUUGUGAAAACAAAGGAUAAUUGUAUUUNAAUGACACAAUUUUUAAAUUUGAAUAUAAAUAUAUAGCACAAAUAACAUGUAAAUAGGUAGAGUUAGUUGAAUAUAAGUUUGUUAACCUUAUCUUAGUAAUCAAAAAUAAUGUUCACUUUCAAGUUUCCAAAGGUUGAGAAAUAAAAACUAGAGAACUUGUGAAAACAAAGGAUAAUUGUAUUUCAAUAUGCUAUUACUUUAUUAUAAUACUUGCCUUAAAAGGGUUUAGAAUUAGAUUAUUGGCAAGUAAUAUAACUUUUACGAGUAAAGAAAUUCCAUAAAUUAUAAUAAUCUACUUUGUAGUGAAACAUGUUUAUCAUAAAAAAUUUAUAGUUUUCCUUAUUAUCUAGAUAUCAAAAGCCACUUUCUAAUGCAAUAUACAAGCACGUAAAAGAAUAUCUAGAAGCUUCCUUUUGUAACUCUUUCAGACGGAAAGAAACUUUUCACUAAUAGUACUCCAAGAAAAAGUUUCGCGGUCAAAAGUUGUUCUCAACAAAGUUAUAAUUUCCAAAGUGAACCAAACAAGCCCAGCUAAAAUGGAAAAUUAUGCUUUGGCACAUAAUUUUGCUCUAUUUCAUUUAUAAGAAAAAAUUAAUGUUCUAC